rnacentral:rRNA from 1 species
GACGAACGCUGGCGGCGUGCCUAAUACAUGCAAGUAGAACGCACAGUUUAUACCGUAGCUUGCUACACCAUAGACUGUGAGUUGCGAACGGGUGAGUAACGCGUAGGUAACCUGCCUGGUAGCGGGGGAUAACUAUUGGAAACGAUAGCUAAUACCGCAUAAUAUUGAUUAUUGCAUGAUAAUUGAUUGAAAGAUGCUAUUGCAUCACUACCAGAUGGACCUGCGUUGUAUUAGCUAGUAGGUGAGGUAACGGCUCACCUAGGCGACGAUACAUAGCCGACCUGAGAGGGUGAUCGGUCACACUGGGACUGAGACACGGCCCAGACUCCUACGGGAGGCAGCAGUAGGGAAUCUUCGGCAAUGGACGAAAGUCUGACCGAGCAACGCCGCGUGAGUGAAGAAGGUUUUCGGAUCGUAAAGCUCUGUUGUAAGAGAAGAACGGGUGUGAGAGUGGAAAGUUCACACUGUGACGGUAUCUUACCAGAAAGGGACGGCUAACUACGUG